CGCGUAGGCGGUCGGGUAAGUCGAGUGUGAAAUUCCGGGGCUCAACCCCGCGAACUGCAUUCGAUACUGCUCGACUAGAGAGAGGUAGGGGCGAGUGGAAUUCCCGGUGUAGCGGUAGAAUGCGUAGAUAUCGGGAAGAACACCGGUGGCGAAGACGGCUCGCUGGGCCUUUUCUGACGCUGAAGCGCGAAAGCGUGGGGAGCAAACA
rnacentral:rRNA from 1 species